rnacentral:misc_RNA from 1 species
GGAAAUUUCAUUUCGAUGUUUGAUCGUUCAAAUGCUUAAUCACAAAAUAUAACAUAGAGAAAGUACGUGAAGAAAAUUAAAACUAGUAAUAGGUUAUAGAAGGAUAAGCUAUAAUUUCAUCUACAUUUUAUAUAAGUACUUCAUACCUGAACUUGUUGGCCUUUAGCCAGUGUUCCUCAUCCCGGCUGCAAUACCGUUUAUAGUAAUGAGCAAUGCAUCUCUAAGCUUAUGGUUAUCUUCAUCGCUUCUCAACCUCUUUAAUAUCUCCACCUGAAGUAUAUUCAUUGGAUUCAGAUAUGGAAGCCUGCUCUCGAUUAACCUCCGCAAGCUACGGUUGUUUGCUGAUAGCUUCUCAUGACCAGUAACCUGUAGGACAUAGUUUCCUGUUGACAAGAGCUCCCUCCGCAUUUCUGCACCGAGUCCCCUUCGUGAUUCAGACACUAGAACGUCAUCAUAAUGCUUGGCUAUAGGAAUGUCUGCUUUCCCUAAAACCAUCUCUAUAAGAUCAACAGUGGACUGGAAGAAGGGCCAUUCUCUGUACAUUGCGCGUAAGUCUUCUGUAUGUCCCUUGUCACAAACACCUUUCAAACCUGCACCAACUCCAAGCCAUGCAGGGAGGACAAAUCUUGUUUGGGUCCACGCAAAUAUCCAUGGAAUUGCACGGAGUUGACCGAUUCCACCUGAACUCUUUCUCCUUGUAGGACGGCUACCAAUGUUGAGAUAUCCUAGCUCAGCCUGAGGUGUUGCUUCGUGGAAGUAAGUAAGGAACUCAGGGUUUUCAUAUACUGUGCUUCUAUAACUCCUGCAGCUCAAAUUUGAUAUGUCAUCCAUCAGAUUACGCCAUUUUUGUUCCCUUGGAGGCUGUGGGGGACGUAAAGUAGCAAGUAGAACAGCUGUAGUGUAUAUCUCUAGCUGCCGAACAGCCAUUUGGGGUAAUCCGAAUUUCGCCUGCACCAUUUCUCCUUGUUCCGUAGAUCUAAGAGAACCCAUAACAGAUCCAGGUGGCUGGGAUUGAAUUGCAAGGUAUGUAGGACCACCACCACGGCCAAUGCUUCCACCGCGUCCAUGGAAUAGAGUUAUUUUUAUUCCAUAUUCAUUACAUGCAGCUACAACAUCUUCUUGAGCUUUGUAAAGCUCCCAUGCAGCAGUGAAACGGCCAGCAUCUUUUCCAGAAUCAGAAUAACCAACCAUAACCUCCUGAUGCCCAUUGUGGUUCUUUAUGACGUGGUCCCUAUACCAAUCAAUUGAUAGUAAUCUUCUAAUCACUGAGCCAGCUUCUCUCAAGUCUUUCACGGUCUCAAACAGAGGAACCACCCGCAGUGUUCCACCAGGACAAGGCCUGCCUAGUUCCCCAGCAACAGCAAGGCGUGCAUCCUUCUGUAAAAGCUCUACGGCUAGGACGUCACUGGCCUGCCAAAUGAACAUGCAUCAAAAUGCAAGUAUAUAAUGGAAAACGGAAACAAGUAGCUCAAACUUGAGAUCAGAUAUCCUUUGGGCAGAUUUAGCUGAACCAUUCCACCACUGCCAAAGGUAGCCCUAUGAGUAAACCAUGUGAAUAUUGAUAUUGAUCAUACAUUUGAAGCCAUGGAAAUAACAUAAGCUCCAAGUGAAUCGCUUCCUAAUUCAGCUGCUACUUUGAAUGUGUCCAAGACUUCUUUGACAUCAGGCGGAACCUCUAUAGUAGGAGGAACCAAAGGCCUUUUCCCUUUUAGCUCUUUUAUCAGAAAGUCCAGCUUUUUUUCUUCAUCCCACUCACUAUAUGUACCCAUGUCCAAGUAAUUUGUGAUUGCAUCAAGUGCCUCAGAGUGCCUACCAGAUUCCUGACGAAGGUCAAGCUUCAUUAAGACCAUCCCAAAUGUAGAAACCCGCCUGAUUAGGUCAGCAAGCCGGCCAUCAGCUAGAACCCCAGACCCACAUGAUUGCAGCGAGUCAUAGCACAAUAGAAGUGGUUCCAAAAGCUGAUCUGAUGUUUCAUAAUAAUCCAUAGGAUCAUGGUCACAUGGAAGAUCUUCAAGAAGAAGCUCCAGCCGCUUCCGAGACUUGAGGAGCUUUUCUUUUACAUCCCCAAGGACAAUCCUGUAAGGCGCAAUUCCAGGCCUAUGUGAUGAACUUGGUUCCAUUAGCUUUUGGAAGCUGGCCCUUCCGAUCUGGUUCUCGGCAAAAAGUUUCCUUUGGAGAAGCUGACUAGCACUUAAUGAAGCAGACCGUGGUGUUAUAUUUCCAUUUCCGUAUGCCUUCUCAGUAUUUUUACUAGAAUCACCAUCAAGGGGACCCACUUUUGAAGUAGUCUGACCAUCCUUAUUUUUGAGCGGUAUGACACCUGUCCCCGGAAGAGCCAGUCUAGGAUAGUGGGACUCAACGUCACUGCAUGCUGUGCAAGAGGGCAGAUCAGCUCUGGUAGGAAGCUGUGUAGGAAAAGGAGGAGCAUGUUGUCCUUGAUGUUUUGAUUGAUUCCAAUUUGAGGAGUGAUUCCAAGAGUCAAAUUGAUUGUCAGAGGUAUUUCCUUUUUCUAAGAUUUCAUGAGCCAAUCUUGCAAAUCUUUCACUGCAUUGAGUCAUGGAAAGUUCAAAUCUGAGGCUAUCUACUUCUCGUACAUAAAGAUCAAUAGCCAUCCACCUGGACAGAAGAGAGACAUCUUUUGUGACCUUUGCUGUGACAUUUGGAUUUCCAUCUCGAUCGCCCCCCAUCCAAGAGCCAAAUCUUAUCGGCGUGCAAGUCAAUGGUAGAGGCCUUCCAGUAUGCUUUUUUAAAGCAUUGCUGACUCGACGUAAAUAAUGGGGCACAGCUUUCCACAGUGUCUGUUCCACAAUAUGUAAACCAGCCCUAGCUUCAUCAACUGGAGUAGGUUUGUGUCGCCUGAGCUCAUCUGUUUGCCAUAUAGAUGUCAUCUCUCUGACCAGAUCUUCAAUCAGCAUGUCUCUGUCUUCAAUCCCAAGAUCAGGCCUGUCAUUAUAUUCCAAAAGGUGUGCAAUUCUGAUGUGUUUGUAUUGUAAGGUACGACGGUUUAUUUGCGUGGGAUGUGCAGUGAGAACAAUCUCAACCGCCUGCUUGCAAACAGUAUCAUAAAGCUGAUCUGGGGGAACACCACUCUGUAAGAGGUGGUUGAAAAUGUCAUCACAAGAUUUUGACAAUUGUACUACUCCUCGUGUCUUGCGUACUCUAUGAUGUGUUUCUGCAAUUCCCAUCAAAUUAAGAUAAUGGCUAAACGUACGGGCGAGAUCAAGCGCCUCCUCUAACGUCAUUUUUGAUAACUCUGAUGCCAGUUGUUUCUCAAGAAGCUCUGCUGUAUCCUCAAUUCCCGCCAUUCGCAUGUUACACGCACCCUGAGCAAGGACACGAGUUCGUUCAACUUUUUCCAUGAAUUUAGGACCAACUUCUCUAUGAAGAACAUCGUUAAGAAGGCUUUGAAGCAACCUACAAUCAUCAUCAAAUCCUUGAAACGAGAUUUCCUCUGCUAUAUCAUCAGUUACGUCUGUCAUUGUUACAGUUUUUGCUUAAAUAAUCAAAAAAAAAAAACGAAGGUUUGAGCUGAUCGUCAAUGGCGGAGAUUUGGAGGAAAAUGGUG